AUUGAACGCUGGCGGCAGGCCUAACACAUGCAAGUCGAACGGUAACAGGAAGAAGCUUGCUUCUUUGCUGACGAGUGGCGGACGGGUGAGUAAUGUCUGGGAAACUGCCUGAUGGAGGGGGAUAACUACUGGAAACGGUAGCUAAUACCGCAUAACGUCGCAAGACCAAAGAGGGGGACCUUCGGGCCUCUUGCCAUCGGAUGUGCCCAGAUGGGAUUAGCUAGUAGGUGGGGUAACGGCUCACCUAGGCGACGUUCCCUAGCUGGUCUGAGAGGAUGACCAGCCACACUGGAACUGAGACACGGUCCAGACUCCUACGGGAGGCAGCAGUGGGGAAUAUUGCGCAAUGGGCGCAAGCCUGAUGCAGCCAUGCCGCGUGUAUGAAGAAGGCCUUCGGGUUGUAAAGUACUUUCAGCGGGGAGGAAGGGAGUAAAGUUAAUACCUUUGCUCAUUGACGUUACCCGCAGAAGAAGCACCGGCUAACUCCGUG
rnacentral:rRNA from 1 species